rnacentral:lncRNA from 1 species
AUGAGGAAAGGAUGUGCCUUUGUUUUUCUCUCACCUUCUGCCAUGAUUGUGAGGCCUCCCCAGCCAUGUGAAACUGUGAGUUCAUUAAACCUCCUUUUCUUUAUGACUGACCCAGUCUCAGGUAUCUCUUUAUCAGUGGAUAAAAAUGGACUAAGUGCCUACCUGUCUGGGCAAGAGGCCAGCUCUGUACAAGGUGAGGGAAAUGACAACUCACUAUGUGGGGAUAAAGUAAUGACCUUUGAAUCACUUUCUUGUGCUUUGCACUGAGACCUGCUCACUGUAUGAAUCUAUAGAUAAUAUAAAUAUAUGCAUAUAUGUUACAUAAAAGCUCUGAGCUUCACUUUUUAGUUGUCUGAGCAUGAAUGUGACAAGUCAGUUGAGCUGCUCUGCAGUAAGGAUGAAAGGAUAAAAUUAGAACCAAUUAAAGUUACUUGAUGAAACAUCUCAGAAGCACCAUAGAAAAAUUCAAUGUUAAGUCAUGGGGUGACCUGACACUUGAAGCCUUGCUGUCUCAUCCCUAGUGCAGAGAGAAUAAAAGUGCUGGAGCUCUAAGGCCUGAGAGGUUGGUGGCCAGCUUGAGUGUAGUGACCCUAGGAGAAAGGAGAGGUCAGCGAAGGUGGAUGGGGAAGUCUCUUUUGGGUAACCCCUCCUGUGCUUUGAUACUUUUCCCAGAAGUUGCCAGGGCUUACCUUUGGGGUACAUCACCGAAAAUAUUGUUCCUAGAAGUUGGAGUAUUAGAUCAAAUACCCAAGCCAGGAGAUGUGAUUUUGGGUACUGGCUGAACUACUGAGUCAGGGACAACUCCUGGUAAACUCACCGAACAUCUCUGCCUGGAGUUCCCUCAUUUGGAAAAGCAGGAUUCAGAUGUCUCAGUUACUCUCCUCCUGAAUUAUGGGCAAGCUUUAACUGCUUAAUCCAUUUUUUUUUUUUUUUGAGACGGUCUUGCUCUGUUGCCCAGGCUGAAGUACAGUGGCAUGAUCUUGGCUCACUGCAACCUCCGCCUCCUGGAUUCAAGCGAUUCUCAUUUCUCAACCUCUCAAGUAGCUGGGACUACAGGCAUGUGCCACCACACCUGGCUAAUUUUUGUGUUUUUAGUAGAGAUGGGGUUUCACCAUGUUGUCCAGUCUAGUCUGGAACUCCUGACCUCUGGUGAUCCACCUGCCUCAGCUUCCCAAAGUUCUGGGGUUACAGGCCCUGAGCCACCUCGUAUGGCCUUACUCCACAUUUGGAAGAAUUAAUAGCUCCUUACAAAUGGAGGAGGCCAGUGUUACGUAACCAGCAUCAACAUCUCCACCUCCACCCCUCUUAGGGCCAUGCUUU